GACGAACGCUGGCGGCGUGCUUAACACAUGCAAGUCGAACGGGAUUUAGUAGACAGAAGCCUCGGCUAAAGAUUACUAAUGAGAGUGGCGAACGGGUGAGUAACGCGUGAGCAACCUGCCUAUGACAGUGGGAUAGCCUCGGGAAACCGGGAUUAAUACCGCAUAAAAUCGUAGAAACACAUGUUUCAACGGUCAAAGAUUUAUCGGUCAUAGAUGGGCUCGCGUCUGAUUAGCUAGUUGGUGAGAUAACAGCCCACCAAGGCGACGAUCAGUAGCCGGUCUGAGAGGAUGAACGGCCACAUUGGAACUGAGACACGGUCCAAACUCCUACGGGAGGCAGCAGUGGUGAAUAUUGCACAAUGGGGGAAACCCUGAUGCAGCGACGCCGCGUGAACGAAGAAGGUAUUCGUAUCGUAAAGUUCUGUCCUAUGGGAAGAUAAUGACAGUACCAUAGAAGAAAGCUCCGGCUAAAUACGUG
rnacentral:rRNA from 1 species